UACGGGGGGGGUAAGCGUUGUUCGGAAUUACUGGGCGUAAAGGGCUCGUAGGCGGCCAACUAAGUCAGACGUGAAAUCCCUCAGCUUAACUGGGGAACUGCGUCUGAUACUGGAUGGCUUGGAUCCGGGAGAGGGAUGCGGAAUUCCAGGUGUAGCGGUGAAAUGCGUAGAUAUCUGGAGGAAUACCGGUGGCGAAGGCGGCAUCCUGGACCGGCAUUGACGCUGAGGAGCGAAAGCUAGGGGAGCAAACGGG
rnacentral:rRNA from 1 species